rnacentral:rRNA from 1 species
UACAGAGGGUGCAAGCGUUAAUCGGAAUUACUGGGAGUAAAGCGUGCGUAGACGGUUACAUAAGUCGGGUGUGAAAGCCCCGGGCUCAACCUGGGAAUUGCAUUCGAGACUGCGUAGCUAGGGUGCGGAAGAGGGAAGCGGAAUUUCCGGUGUAGCGGUGAAAUGCGUAGAUAUCGGAAGGAACACCAGUGGCGAAAGCGGCUUCCUGGUCCAGCACCGACGUUCAGGCACGAAAGCGUGGGGAGCAAACAGG